UACGAAGGGGGCUAGCGUUGUUCGGAUUUACUGGGCGUAAAGCGCACGUAGGCGGAUUGGUCAGUUAGAGGUGAAAUCCCGAAGCUCAACUUCGGAACUGCCUUUAAUACUGCCAGUCUAGAGUCCGGAAGAGGUAAGUGGAACUCCUAGUGUAGAGGUGGAAUUCGUAGAUAUUAGGAAGAACACCAGUGGCGAAGGCGGCUACUGGUCCGGUACUGACGCUGAGGUGCGAAAGCGUGGGGAGCAAACAGG
rnacentral:rRNA from 1 species